UGCAAGUCGAGCGGUAGAGAGAAGCUUGCUUCUCUUGAGAGGCGGACGGGUGAGUAAUGCCUAGGAAUCUGCCUGGUAGUGGGGGAUAACGUUCGGAAGGACGCUAAUACCGCAUACGUCGUACGGGAGAAAGCAGGGGACUUCGGGCCUUGCGCUCAGAUGAGCCUAGGUCGGAUUAGCUAGUUGGUGGGGUAAUGGCUCACCAAGGCGACGACGUAACUGGUCUGAGAGGAUGAUCAGUCACACUGGAACUGAGACACGGUCCAGACUCCCGGGAGGCAGCAGUGGGGAAUAUUGGACAAUGGGCGAAAGCCUGAUCCAGCCAUGCCGUGUGUGAAGAAGGUCUUCGGAUUGUAAAGCACUUUAAGUUGGGAGGAAGGGCAGUAAAAAUACUUUGCUGUUUUGACGUUACCGACAGAAUAAGCACCGGCUAACUCUGUGCCAGCCCGCGGUAAUACAGAGGGUGCAAGCGUUAAUCGGAAUUACUGGGCGUAAAGCGCGCGUGUGGUUCGUUAAGUUGGAUGUGAAAUCCCCGGGCUCAACCUGGGAACUGCAUUCAAAAGACGAGCUAGAGUAUGGUAGAGGGUGGUGGAAUUUCCUGUGUAGCGGUGAAAUGCGUAUAUAGGAAGGAACACCAGUGGCGAAGGCGACCACCUGGACUGAUACUGACACUGAGGUGAAAGCGUGGGGAGCAAACAGGAUUAGAUACCCUGGUAGUCCACGCCGUAAACGUGGUACUAGCCGUUGGGAGCCCUUGAGCUCUUAGUGGCGCAGCUAACGCAUUAAGUGACCGC
rnacentral:rRNA from 1 species